GCCGAGAUGGCGGAAUGGCAGACGCGCAUGGUUCAGGACCAUGUCCCUGAAAAGGGGUGGGGGUUCAAGUCCCCCUCUCGGCA
rnacentral:tRNA from 1 species